rnacentral:tRNA from 2 species
GCCGAGGUGGCGGAAAGGAAUACGCGCCCGUGUUUCACGGGUGGACCCGUUCGUGGUCUUUGGGGGUUCGAGUCCCUCACUCGGCA